CUAUUUCCUCCGAUCGCAAGGCACUCGGCUCCCCAAAGGUCAUCAAAAGUGCAUCACGUUGUGAUAAGCAUCAAGCGGAGCUAAGGAAAGCAUUUUGUGCUCUCAUCUUGACCAUUGUAACUCCUGGAAGGAUAUUUUUCUCCCCGCUAUCUAGCGUGCCAAACUGUUGCGGCUCAUCUCUAGUAGGGUAGUCGGAUCGUCAUGCCUAAGUGUCAAACAGCAAAAAACUGGUGGAGAAAAAUAGCUCACCGGAGAGAGGGCACAGUCGAGAAGGUCG
rnacentral:lncRNA from 1 species